UAAGUGACUCUGAGAGUAGCAAAGCCAAAGCAACUUCACACACACAGUGUACUGAUCAACACUUCUGGAAGUGGAGCAAGGUUGAGUUACCUGUGAGACAGUAAUGAAGAGGAACACCAUCCUUGCUCUCUUCAUCUGGGCCAUGGCUAUGGUGAUCUUCGCCACGGCAAUGCCGGCCAAGGCAAGGAUGGAGGGGAUCCAUCCUCAAGGAUGCAGAUGCUGCUAUUUCAGACUUAGGCCGAUGAUCCAGUGUGCCAAGGCUUGCUGUGGCUCUGACGAUGAGAACUGCUGCCUUGUGAACAACUAGUUCAUCUCGGGAAUAAAUAAACCGAGUCGGUCUUGGACCUUUGCUUAAUUUCCUUGUGUUUCAACGAUCUCGCUGAAGAAUGCAGUUAUAUAUAUGAAAUAAAAUCCAGCUCUUGCUGUUCAUACCUAAAUGUGUGUGUCCUCAUUUCCAAAUCUAUUGUGUGCGGUCAGCACCUUGAAUAAUACUGCAUCUUAUUAA